AUUGAACGCUGGCGGCAGGCCUAACACAUGCAAGUCGAACGAGCGGCGGACGGGUGAGUAAUGUCUGGGACACUGCCUGAUGGAGGGGGAUAACUACUGGAAACGGUAGCUAAUACCGCAUACCAUCGGAUGUCCCCAGUUGGGAUUAGCUUGUUGGUGGGGUAACGGCUCACCCAGGCGACGAUCCCUAGCUGGUCUGAGAGGAUGACCAGCAAAAAUGGAACUGAGACACGGUCCAGACUCCUACGGGAGGCAGCAGUGGGGAAUAUUGCACAAUGGGCGGAAGCCUGAUGCAGCCAUGCCGCGUGUAUGAAGAAGGCCUUCGGGUUGUAAAGUACUUUCAGCGGGGAGGCGUUACACGCAGAAGAAGCACCGGCUAACUCCGUGCCAGCAGCCGCGGGAAUAC
rnacentral:rRNA from 1 species